rnacentral:rRNA from 1 species
UACGAGGGGGGCGAGCGUUGUUCGGAAUUAUUGGGCGUAAAGGGUGCGUAGGCGGUUUGGUAAGUCUUAUGUGAAAUCUACAGGCUCAACUUGUAGUCUGCAUGAGAAACUGCCGGGCUUGAGUAUGGGAGAGGUGAGUGGAAUUCCUGGUGUAGCGGUGAAAUGCGUAGAUAUCAGGAGGAACACCUGUGGCGAAAGCGGCUCACUGGACCAUAACUGACGCUGAUGCACGAAAGCUAGGGGAGCGAACAGG